GGUAUAGUGUCUAUGGCUAUAGGAGGAAAAUUUGAUAAGAAAUUGAGCUUAAAACUAAUGACUUUGAGAGUAUUUUUUCAGGCCGUUUCUAUAUUUUUAUUAAUUUAUUUUUAUAAAGUUCAUUUUUUAUACUAAAAUUAAGUGUAAUGAUCUAUUUUUAUAGGUGAAUUUUAUUUUUUAGUAAGAUUUAUAUCUCUUAAACUAUUUACUUCAUGAGGUAUGUAAAAUCAAAAGAUAUUA
rnacentral:sRNA from 1 species